UCUGCCAUCUCUUGGCCAUAUUGAUGAGUUUCUUAGUACUGAGCAUCUUCAUUUCUCUGGAAAACUAGAAACAAGAAAGUAAAUAAUUAGAACCUUAGGGAUCUUUGAUGAAUGAACUGAUAAUGCUUGUUUUAUGAUGAAAAGGUUCAUGAAAGGAGGAUUAUUUAUACAAGCAGCUGUAGACGGGCUUUGAGUUGGAGCUUAAGUUAUGUUACUAACAACAAAAGGCAAAGCCAUGUGCUGAUGCCUUUUGGUCAGGUUGAUAUGGGGCCUUAAAUUU
rnacentral:lncRNA from 1 species